CGCGUAGGCGGCUUUGUAAGUCUGGAGUGAAAGUCCUCUUUUCAAGGGAGGAAUUGCUUUGGAAACUAUAGAGCUUGAGUGCAGGAGAGGUUAUCGGAAUUCCCGGUGUAGCGGUGAAAUGCGUAGAUAUCGGGAGGAACAUCGAUGGCGAAGGCGGGUAACUGGACUGCAACUGACGCUGAGGCGCGAAAGUGUGGGGAGCAAACAG
rnacentral:rRNA from 1 species